GAUGAACGCUGGCGGCGUGCCUAAUACAUGCAAGUCGAGCGAACAGACGAGGAGCUUGCUCCUCUGAUGUUAGCGGCGGACGGGUGAGUAACACGUGGAUAACCUACCUAUAAGACUGGGAUAACUUCGGGAAACCGGAGCUAAUACCGGAUAACAUGUUGAACCGCAUGGUUCAACAGUGAAAGACGGUCUUGCUGUCACUUAUAGAUGGAUCCGCGCCGCAUUAGCUAGUUGGUAAGGUAACGGCUUACCAAGGCAACGAUGCGUAGCCGACCUGAGAGGGGGAUCGGACAGACGGGAAGUGAGACACAGUGGAGACACGGAUGGGGAGCAGCGGUAGGGAAUCUUACGGAAUGAGCGAAAUGGUGACAGUGGAACACCGGGGAAGGGAAGAAGGUCUACGGAUCAGUGAAUUCUGUAGGUAUGGAAGAAGAAAAGCUUCUUGAACCAUGAUGAUAUUGACGGUACCGAACGAGAAAGCCACGGCUAACUACGUG
rnacentral:rRNA from 1 species